UUACACUAUAAUUAUAGGCCUUACCCAACACAUUCACAAAGCUUUUUGAGUCAAGACCCAUGAGAAUGACUGCUGUAGUCAAAAAUAUUAAUAUCUAGUCAAUGUAUGAUUUGAGCUGUACAUUAGCAUGAAACUUAUAUUACUUUACAUUAUAGUUUACCUUUUUGACGAAUCAAUUUGUGAAGAAAAACAAACUAACCAGGAGUUUUCUUUAUUUUGUAUACCAUAUUGUGAUGGUUUUAAUCUACCGAAGGGAACAUUAAAAACAAAUAAUCAUAAAAAGACCCCUCCCCCUCCCCGGUGGCAUAUAUGCGUUGCGUCAUCCUUGAAUUCCUAUUGGUGGAUUGGCGAAGAUGAAUCUCGAGAGGAGUCGAGACAAAUGACAGUUAAUUUUUCAAACUAAGGAGUCCGCCAUUUCUGCUCGUUCAUACCCUAAGAUAACCAUGGUUGAUAAAUGGUCAGUAGAUGACACGUGCCACUGGCUUCAAACUAUAAACCUCAUUGAUGCAAAAGAAAGUUUCAGAGAUCCUGCAUGAAAUGACAAUGAGGUUUGGAACAGACUUGGCGAAGAACAUGGAAACAUCUCUGAAUGAAAUGGCCCCAGACAUCAUCAGGAGUGCAAAAGAAGGAAGUCAAAAAAACCCUCUACGCCAAUCUCAUUGGACUAGCAGAGGAAACCACAGAAGGUCUCGUUAGGAAUGCUGCACUCAUUUUAUUGCCAGCACUAUUUAAAGAAAACGCCAGCUUCCUUUACAGUGUAGAUAGUGAUCCCAAAGGUGCUACACCAACCAUAGUGUUUAACGGCUCUCCUGAUUCCCUCAAGGCUGAAAGCGUCAGCAUUAUAAUGGACAAUGUGAACAUCAUAAGAGAGGCAGACAUUGACAUGACACAGGCUGUGGAAUGCCUAUUUGCAGUCUAUUUUAUGUGCAAUACCCGGUUGACAUUAAGCACACAAUGACUUUUAUUCAAAAAUAUAUGCUUAAACUUAGACAAGAGCACAGCAAAAGAACACCAAUACAUGUACUGAAAAUGUACAGUCAACUUGUGUAAAUUGUAGAGCUAUUUAA